AUGAUGAGAUACCAAUUGCAACAUAGAGUCAAGCUCUGAGCAUAAAAUGCAUGGGAAGAGACUUGCUUAUUUAUUUCUGAC